rnacentral:rRNA from 1 species
GACGAACGCUGGCGGCGUGCUUAACACAUGCAAGUCGAACGAUGAAACCUAGCUUGCUAGGUCGAUUAGUGGCGAACGGGUGAGUAACACGUGACUAACCUGCCCCUUUCUCUGGGAUAACGCUCCGAAAGGAGUGCUAAUACCGGAUACUCACACCGAGGCACAUGCCUUGGUGUGGAAAGUUUUUCGGAAAGGGAUGGAGUCGCGGCCUAUCAGCUUGUUGGUGAGGUAACGGCUAACCAGGGCGACGACGGGUAGCCGGCCUGGGGGGGCGGCCUGCCUCACUGGGACUGAGCCAGGGCCCAGACUCCUGCGGGAUGCAGCAGGGGGGAAUAUUGCACAAUGGGCGCAAGCCCGAUGCAGCGACGCCGCGUGAGGGAUGAAGGUCUUCGGAUUGUAAACCUCUUUCAGUAGGGACGAAGCGAAAGUGACGGUACCUAAAGAAGAAGCACCGGCUAACUACGUGCCAGCCGCCGCGGUAA